GCCCCCGCCACCCCCGGGUCUAGGGCCCUCUUGCUGUCCAGGUGCAGGGUGGAAUGUUCUGGGCAUAGAGGCAGCCUGGGGCGAGCAGCUGCGGAGCUCCGAGUCCCUGCCCCGACCACUCUGUCCUCUGUUUGUUCCUGAAACAAAUGCCACCAGCACCCUGCAGAGUGGGCUGAGAGGUACAGGGGCUGGGGUUUCCAGCCAGCCCAGUGGGCCUGAGUCAGGCUGGCCCCAUGGACGAGGUCAGUGCCCUGUCCUAGGUGCAUCCCCGGCCAGCGUACUUGGACCGCUCUGGCCGCCCUGGGCGCUACCCGCAGAGAUAAGGGCCCCUCCCUGCGCCCGGUCCGGGCAUCUCCGAGCCGGCCUGGGGGUGGCUGAACUCUCUUUUGCCGGCCGAAACCCCAGCCCCCGCAGCCCCCGCAGCCGAUCGGUCCUCAAGCUACAGCUCCCCUCUCUGGGAGUCCCCGCUUUUGAAUUCCCCGGGGAUGUUCCCGCUGCGGUCCGAUGGACCUCCCAGAGCAGCGGAGGUCAGGGGAGCUAGCAGAGGCGGGGACGUCCCUUGGGAGUGAGGGGACUGACAGGGGCGGCCUCGUAACCCUGCGUGGGAUGGAAGGUCAGAGUGGGUUCCUCGGUGGGGGGCAACAGCGGGGGCUCUCCGGCAAUUGUCCCCGACCCUCCGUCCUGGGGAGGGCAGGAUCAGCGCGCGGGCUGCUUUGCAUCUCUUUGCAUUUUAGUGAUGUUUGGUCCAGUCCUGGCCCGGGCAGAUCUGGGGUUCGGGCGGGUGCCGGUGGGGUAGGGCUGGGGGUGGGAGCGGCGUUUCCUGCUGCGGGUGAGCCUUUUGCCUCGGAACUGGACCCGGGAGACAUCACAGCGCUGGGCUAGGGGCGCGGCUUGAACUCGCCUAAAGAGCUGCGCCCUCUCAGUAAGUCCCCAUGGCCCCCUGCCCCCCCGCGCUCCGUCCUCAGUCAGGCCCGGGUCCUGCCUGAAGGCGGGGGUGGACCAGAUGAUCUUUCUUGGGCCCUGGGCCUAGAUUCGAGGUCCCCAGGGUCCAAGUCCUGGGUUCAGAGGGCGGGGCGCGAGGGGCGGGGUCUCCAAGGGGCGGGGUCCCGGGGUCCCUGAAAGGCGCGGACCAGGCCGGAUCCACCCAGUCUCGCGCCUGCAGCCCGUGCCGCCCCAGCCGCUGCCGCCUGCACCGGACCCGGAGCCGUCAUGCCCAAGUGUCCCAAGUGCAACAAGGAGGUGUACUUCGCCGAGAGGGUGACCUCUCUGGGCAAGGACUGGCAUCGGCCCUGCCUGAAGUGCGAGAAAUGUGGGAAGACGCUGACCUCUGGGGGCCACGCUGAGCACGAAGGCAAACCCUACUGCAACCACCCCUGCUACGCAGCCAUGUUUGGGCCUAAAGGCUUUGGGCGGGGCGGAGCCGAGAGCCACACUUUCAAGUAAACCAGGUGGUGGAGACCCCAUCCUUGGCUGCUUGCAGGGCCACUGUCCAGGCAAAUGCCAGGCCUUGUCCCCAGAUGCCCAGGGCUCCCUUGUUGCCCCUAAUGCUCUCAGUAAACCUGAACACUUGGAAAACC
rnacentral:lncRNA from 1 species